rnacentral:rRNA from 1 species
GACGUAGGGUCCGAGCGUUGUCCGGAGUUACUGGGCGUAAAGGGCGCGUAGGCGGUUCCAUGCGUCCCACGUGAAAGCCCCUGGCUCAACCAGGGAGGGUCGUGGGAAACGGGGGAACUGGAGGCAGAGAGAGGCUGGUGGAAUUCCCGGAGUAGUGGUGAAAUGCGUAGAUAUCGGGAGGAACACCGGUGGCGAAGGCGGCCAGCUGGCUCUGACCUGACGCUGAGGCGCGAAGGCGUGGGGAGCGAACGGG